rnacentral:rRNA from 1 species
ACGCUGGCGGCGUGCUUAACACAUGCAAGUCGAACGAGAAUCUAUGGAUCGAGGAUUCGUCCAAGUGAAGUAGAGGACAGUGGCGGACGGGUGAGUAACGCGUGAGGAACCUGCCUUUCAGAGGGGGACAACAGUUGGAAACGACUGCUAAUACCGCAUGACACAUAGAGAUCGCAUGGUUUUAUGUCAAAGAUUUAUCGCUGAAAGAUGGCCUCGCGUCUGAUUAGCUGGUUGGUGAGGUAAACGGCCCACCAAGGCGACGAUCAGUAGCCGGACUGAGAGGUUGACCGGCCACAUUGGGACUGAGAUACGGCCCAGACUCCUACGGGAGGCAGCAGUGGGGAAUAUUGGGCAAUGGGCGCAAGCCUGACCCAGCAACGCCGCGUGAAGGAAGAAGGCUUUCGGGUUGUAAACUUCUUUUGUCGGGGACGAGUAGAAGACGGUACCUGGCGAAUAAGCCACGGCUAACUACGUG